GAGCACUUCAAAUCUGAUAGCGAGUGAGUUCUCAGAUCUAUACCUAGCGUCUUCGAAGAUGGGCAAUCUGAUUUGUUGCUGCCGUGGUGACCCUAAGGAGGAAAAACUGCGAGCCAAUCAUGCAAGGAAGUACGAGGUUGUUGCUGAGGUGGCCGUAGGAGCACGAGAAGAAGGUAUGUGUCCUGGAAACUGUUUCUUGCUGAGAAAAAUGUUUACAUGGUGAUGCAGGUGGGGCAUUGUUAUUGUCUUUAUACUGGAGAGCUACCCUAAUCCCAGAGGCCUGGGGGGACGGGUGC